rnacentral:rRNA from 1 species
AGCCUGAACGCUGGCGGCGUGGCUAAGACAUGCAAGUCGUACGGGUGUAGCAAUACACCAGUGGCGGACGGGUGAGUAAUGUAUCGCUAACGUACCCCAGGUUCUGGGAUAGCUGCCCGAAAGGGCAGGUAAUACCAGAUGAUAUAUCCUUGUCGCAUGGCGAGGAUCUCAAAGGGAAACCGUCCUGGGAGCGGGCGAUAUCGUAUCAGCUAGUUGGUGAGGUAACGGCUCACCAAGGCGACGACGCGUAGCCGGACUGAGAGGUUGGCCGGCCACAUUGGGACUGAGACACUGCCCAGACUCCUACGGGGGGCUGCAGUAACGAAUCUUCCGCAAUGCACGAAAGUGUGACGGAGCGACGCCGCGUGUGGGACGAAGUCCUUCGGGAUGUAAACCACUGUCAGGGGUUAGAAAGUUCUGAUCAACCCCAGAGGAAGGCACGGCUAACUCUGUGCCAGCAGCCGCGGUAA